rnacentral:tRNA from 1 species
AUGCAUAUUAGGCGAUUGACUUCUAAUCAAGCGAUUGUGGGUUCGAGUCCCACUAGGCGUG